GGCCGCCUGGCGUAAUGGCAACGCGUCUGACUACGAUGAGAUCCCACGCUUCAGUGUAAUCAGGAGAUUGCAGGUUCGACCCCUGAGGUGGUCA